GAUGAACGCUAGCGGGAGGCCUAACACAUGCAAGCCGAGCGGUAUUGUUUCUUCGGAAAUGAGAGAGCGGCGUACGGGUGCGGAACACGUGUGCAACCUGCCUUUAUCUGGAGGAUAGCCUUUCGAAAGGAAGAUUAAUACUCCAUAAUAUAUUAAUUGGCAUCAAUUGAUAUUGAAAACUCCGGUUGAUAGAGAUGGGCACGCGCAAGAUUAGCUAGUUGGUGAGGUAACGGCUCACCAAGGCAAUGAUCUUUAGGGGGCCUGAGAGGGUGAUCCCCCACACUGGUACUGAGACACGGACCAGACUCCUACGGGAGGCAGCAGUGAGGAAUAUUGGUCAGUGGGUGCAAGCCUGAACCAGCCAUCCCGCGUGAAGGAUUAAGGUCCUAUGGAUUGUAAACUUCUUUUGUAUAGGGAUAAACCUACCCUCGUGAGGGUAGCUGAAGGUACUAUACGAAUAAGCACCGGCUAACUCCGUGCCAGCAGCCGCAGUAAAAC
rnacentral:rRNA from 1 species